UACGUAGGGUGCGAGCGUUAAUCGGAAUUAUUGGGCGUAAAGCGCGCGCAGGCGGCCGCAUAAGUCUAUGGGUGAAAUGCCGGGGCUCAACCCCGUGCAUGCCCAGGAUACUGUGCGGCUAGAGACACGUAGAGGCAAGCGGAAUUCCGGGCGUAGCGGUGGAAUGCGUAGAGAUCCGGAAGAACACCGGAGGCGAAGGCGGCUUGCUGGGCGUGAUCUGACGCUGAGGCGCGAAAGCGUGGGGAGCAAACAGG
rnacentral:rRNA from 1 species